UGGCUGCAGGUAUAUUAAUAGUUCCUGGGUCCCAGCAGGGCGGUGCCCACAUGCCUUCGGAGCCCGUGUGGGGCAGGAAGGCAGCACCAGGCCCACUGGGAGAGGAGGCCUCCAAGUUCCUGCUGAGCCACUCAAUAGCUUAAAAUAUAAGCAGCCCCUCUCCCUGCCGGCCAGCUGCUGGGGGAGGGCUGAAAUCCUACCCCUCUCCCCCAGCCUGGGCACCAGACCAGGGUCCGGGGAGAGUCGGGGGCCCCGACUGGCUGCCGGAGAGGAAGCUGGGUGGCAGGAGGGGUGGCCGGGCGAGGGGCACACUCCCAGCGGCCGCGCCGGGGUCAGUCCCAAGCUGGAGGACGGGAGCCCGCACCCUCACAGAGCAGGCUCCGGCACAAUGGAUACAGAGGACAAGGACGGGGCGGACACCCUGGCCUGGGACACGGGAGCACGGCUCUGCGAUGACAGUUCCACUAGCCCGGGAGGAAUUCUCACCCAGGCGCCUGAGAUUCCAGGAUCCGGCCAACAGCAACUCGUGGCACCACGAGGAAGGUGCCAUCAGGCCAAGAAGCUGGAAGAGGCAGGAGACACCGAGCCCUGCAAACACAGGCUGAUGGGAGCAGCAGGAGGAGCCCAUCCAGGAUGACCCCCCACCUGCGUCCAGCACAUCUGGCCCAGUGCGGCAGGCAGGUUAGUUCACCCCAGAAACUUCCGGAAUCGCCCGCUCUGGGACCCCCAUGGCCAGCUUCAUACACAGCAACAGCUAACACCUCCCACAUGCUCACAAGGUGCCAGACACAGAGGCACAUUCUCAACACAAAUUACCUUUUACUAUUAAUCCCCUUUCACAGAUGAGGAAACUGAGGCUCAUUCGUUCACCACAUAAAUACUGAUUGAACAUCUACUAACUGCUACAUGCCAGGCACUGUUAAAAGCUCUGGGAAUUCAGCUGUGGAAAGAGAGACAGAAAUCUUUGCCCAUGUGCAGCUGACGUUUUAGCAGGGGGGGGACAAAGACCAUCAAAUAAAGUUGCACAUAACAUUAGAAGAUGUCAUGUGCCAUAGGAAAAGCAGAGCAGGGAAAGGGGACAGGGAGUGGAAGGUGAAGAGGGGGUGUGCAGUUUUAAACAAACUGGUCAAGAAAG